UUUCCAGUUGGCCUCGAUGGUUGAUUUUUUAUUCAUAAAGUUCAUAAAAACAGAUGUAGUAGCAUUUUAGCAUAUAUUUAUUUGGAAUAUGUUAAACAGUUGCUUAAUGUUGAAUUCAUCAGCUAUGACUUGUGCACGUGAGAUUUGGGAGCCGCAGUUUAUGUUAUUUAAAUGAAUUUAAUGGGAAUAAAAAGUGCAAGGACUAUGCAAGUGUUCUGGGUUAUUCAGCAACAGUAUUACAAUAAGCCAAAGCUUGAAAUUAAUUAAUUUCCUAACUACCACAAUGAAAUUGUUUUUAAUGAGGAAGCAAUCUGACUUCCAGACAUUCGGAUCCAGCUGUAAUGAAAAUGUGCAGCCUUUCCUAUGUGCGUGAUCACUGAGCAGGAGCACAUCAUUUCCCAAAGCUGUCCAAACCAGUGGUCCCUCUCCCUCAUGAGGUCCCCAUGUGCCACGUGCUGAGCUCUAGGUCAGGCAAGGGAACAGGAGAGAGAGCAUGGUGGCAUUUGUGACUGUACGGAAGCAAAUACUGUGCUGGGGUACUUCUUUUUAUAGCUACAGUACAAUAAUUCUGGAUGCAUGCUGACCUGGACAAACGUAUUAUGCAGUGACAGUGUUAACAUCUGUAUUUUAUUACUUAUGUUACUUCCACAGCAUGUGACUGGGAAUGAAAGUGGAAAUACCGGUUUCUGCUCUCACCUUUCCCAAGAUUUAAUUUGUAAGCCAACUUUCUUUAAAAUAUUCAGAGACAGGAGAGAUGAUGCAAUGAGUACAUCAUCACAUGCCCAUCCCAAAAGGAAGACAAUUAUGAAUUUCAAGUGCAAAAACUUUCCUACUGUCCUACUGACUGAAAAGGAGAAAACAACAAUUUUAUAAAGAGAGGAGAGGCUACUAAGAGAAUUGUAUCUAUUUUCCUGGAAGGACUACAAAGAUUGACAAAUAUUUUUGUAAAGCAAUUUAGACCUACGGUGGCACUUUUUCAAAAGCAAUUCUGUGUGGAAUAGACUGAAAUGGACAUCGCUGUGGCAAUCAUGGUUGUUCACAAAACAUGAGUUCUGGAGAGCUGAGUGGCUAUCUGUUCCAGGAAGGUAGUGAUAGUGAAGAGUGGUCUAGCAGUUUCAAAGGAAGGUGAAAUUAUAUGAACAUGUGGAUGAGUGGCAGAGACAGUGGAGGUGAGUUUUUAAACAAAAGCAGGAAAAAAUGUUGGGCGCAUUGCUAAAUCAGGAGGGGGGGAAAGAGGGUUUUAGCAGCAUAUUGUGCAGUUCUAUGCAAUGCAUUUUGAAGAUGUUUAUAAGUCAGAAUAGUGGAAUUUAGUCUAAUGGAGAGUUGCAGAGAACUGCAGCUGCCAGGAGGGCACUUUCAAUUGUGUGUACGCAGAGUGUUAGGAAGAGUUGCAGGAAUGGGACAAAAUAAAUGGUGUGAUACAAUACUGAUGUGGACUUGAGAUUUCUCAGUACAGAAACAAAAAGGAUUCUCCGUCUGCAAGUGAUCGUGUUUCUAGUUUCAUGCUGUGGGUCUGCUGUCAUCCGCUGUGAUUUGUUCAGCAAUUGGAAGAAAAAAAUUCUUUACAGUAUUCGUGAAGUAUCCGUGUGCCAGUGAGAACUUUCCGCCUGCAGAGGAGAGCGGUGGGUACGGGAAGGUGACCAGCACACCGGGCUGGCGGCCCCUCACACCACUGCCCCGCCAGGUGCCAGUGCCCAG